rnacentral:misc_RNA from 1 species
UCUGGUACGAGUGUGUGAAAA